rnacentral:rRNA from 1 species
CCUACGGGUGGCAGCAGUGAGGAAUAUUGGUCAAUGGCCGAGAGGCUGAACCAGCCAAGUAGCGUGCGGGAAGACGGCCCUACGGGUUGUAAACCUCUUUUGUAGGGGAGCAAAGCGACCUACGUGUGGUUCAUUGAGAGUACCCGAAGAAUAAGCAUCGGCUAACUCCGUGCCAGCAGCCGCGGUAAUACGGAGGAUGCGAGCGUUAUCCGGAUUUAUUGGGUUUAAAGGGUGCGCAGGCGGAGGUGCAAGUCAGCGGUCAAAUUGCGGGGCUCAACCCCGUACUGCCGUUGAAACUGCAGCCCUUGAGUGCGCGAGAAGUAGGCGGAAUGCGUGGUGUAGCGGUGAAAUGCAUAGAUAUGACGCAGAACUCCGAUUGCGAAGGCAGCAUACCGGCGCGCAACUGACGCUCAUGCACGAAAGCGUGGGUAUCGAACAGGAUUAGAUACCCCAGUAGUC